UGGACUCUUAGAUUUAUGUGUUUAGUCUAGGGUUUUGUUUAAGAAAUUUCCUGUUUGUGUCCAGCUUUGAGAUUUCAGAUUUUCCUUUCUCUUCUUGUUGCCGUGUACUUCGUGGCUUCAAAAGAGACCCAACCAGGAGUGUAUUUCAAGAUUCAAGGAACCUAUUUGUAAAGCAUCGAGGUAAUGAUGAAAAGGCUGGGGAGCAAGGCAUUACUGUAGAGGGAGAGGCAGACGCUUAGGACCUUCCCUAACGAGGACAGUUAUGUUACGAAUGAUGGGUUAUGUUACGUAUAGAUAUUUUAUUUUGGGAUGGACUCUAAGAGUCCCUUAAGAAUGAAUGUUCGAAUAAAAUGUCCAUUAGGUGUUC